GAGAGAGAGAGAGAGAGAGAGAGAAACGAGCUGGCGGAGAGGAGCAGAAGGCAGGAGGGGAAAUCUGGCACAACGGCUGGGAGAGGAAACUUGAUGCUUCUGGGCCACCAUUUGCCAGGGCCUCGCUCGAGACGCCGAAAGAAGCCUGUUUGUGUGCUGCGGCCGUGCUGUGACUUUGGAUCUUGUCUUUCAGCCGGCGCCUCGGUUCCUGCCCAGCUGGAUUUGGGGGGCAGCAUUGCCUGGCGCAGGGAGAUCAAAUGAGACUGCAAAGAAGCAUAAAAUGAAUAGACAAUCCAACCAACCAAAGGAAAUUGCUUUGGAGAUGAGGAAACAAACUCUUAUGGAGACCUAAGAGACUGAAGACAUCUGGCGUGGACUACUCUGAUGGUAAAAUUGAAAGUACACCUAAAUUUGCUUUGUUACAGGAUUCUCUUCAGAGGACAAGAGAAGAUGUUACAUUCUCUGCAUGAGGACAAUUCUGCAGCAUCAAAAUCGAAUAAUAUUUGUUUUCUGGCAGCAGAAUUUUGUAUCAUAUUUCUAAAGACAGUAAGCACUUGGGUGGACGUCAAUGAAUACUAAACACUAAUUGAUCUGAUACAGCCGUAUGCACAUACACAGAUAUACAUGGUGGCUUGUAAUGGUUGAAAAAUUACGGUUUGGUUUUAUUAAAAGAUCUGUCACUUUUAG
rnacentral:lncRNA from 1 species